rnacentral:rRNA from 1 species
UACAGAGGAGCCAAGCGUUGUCCGGAUUGACUGGGCGUAAAGCGCACGCAGGCGGUUGCGCGCGUGGGGGGUGAAAUCUGGCCGCUUAACGGCCAGGCGCCAUCCCAUACGGCGCGACUGGAGUGAUGCAGAGGUCGAUGGAAUUGCCGGUGUAGUGGUGAAAUGCGUAGAUAUCGGGAGGAACACCAGUGGCGAAGGCGACUUCCUGGCCUGUUCUUGACGCUGAGGCGCGAAAGCUAGGGGAGCAAACGGG